GAUGAACGCUAGCGGCGUGCCUAAUACAUGCAAGUCGAGCGAACAGACGAGGAGCUUGCUCCUCUGACGUUAGCGGCGGACGGGUGAGUAACACGUGGAUAACCUACCUAUAAGACUGGGAUAACUUCGGGAAACCGGAGCUAAUACCGGAUAAUAUAUUGAACCGCAUGGUUCAAUAGUGAAAGACGGUUUUGCUGUCACUUAUAGAUGGAUCCGCGCCGCAGUAGCUAGUUGGUAAGGUAACGGCUUACCAAGGCGACGAUGCGUAGCCGACCUGAGAGGGUGAUCGGCCACACUGGAACUGAGACACGGUCCAGACUCCUACGGGAGGCAGCAGUAGGGAAUCUUCCGCAAUGGGCGAAAGCCUGACGGAGCAACGCCGCGUGAGUGAUGAAGGUCUUCGGAUCGUAAAACUCUGUUAUUAGGGAAGAACAAAUGUGUAAGUAACUAUGCACGUCUUGACGGUACCUAAUCAGAAAGCCACGGCUAACUACGUG
rnacentral:rRNA from 1 species